ensembl:lncRNA
GCCAGAACCCUGCAUAAGGAAGACAUUUGCAGAGUAAAAAGGAUCCAGAUGGCCUCACAAAGUCUAGAAGGAAACAUGACCAACAGAGACAAGGCCAAGCAGGGUGCAGACUGAGCAGGAGGAGAGCAGUUUCAGCACUGUGGACUCACAGGUCAAAUUGCCGGGACCAAGAUAAUGAAGAUGAGGGGCCUAGUGGUUAAGCAGGCUGGAUCAAGACUUCAGCACUUACUGUGUGUCCUUGGGAAAUAAAUUAAUCAAUCCAGCCUUAUUCCUUCAUAUAUUAAAUUAAAUUAAUAUCGAUAGCAUGUGAGUGUUAUGAAAAAUAAAUGAGACAAUCUAUUUUAAUUGCUUAGCCAAGUGCCUGACACACAGUGGCCAUUCAAUAAAAGUGGCUUGGCUAUUUCUCCUCAUUUCUCUCCCUGUUUCUCUCUGCUAUUUCUCUCUCUCCUACUUGGUAUAUAAAGGGAGGAGAAAGAUAGAAAUUUGGAAGACCAGCAGGGUUAAAGGAACAGUUCUCUUGAGUGACCAAAGUCCUCUAAGAAAGAAAAAAACAAUCGUGAAUUCAGGCAGAGGGACUAGAUUUAGGCAACAGAAGAUGAACUGUGAGAGGGGGGAGAUGAGAAAAUAUAUGGAAAUUUUGAUCAAGGGAAAUGGAUUCUAAUGUCACCUUGUCAAGUUAGCUCAUGGGCCCCAUAUAUGAGUCCUCCUUUCUGACAUGCCCCAUGCUGGAUGAUAAUUCCAACAUUCUGGGUGACUGUAAUUUGAUGAGCAGGCAUCGGCCUAACAAUAAACUCUGUGUUAGUCAGGGUUCUCCAGAAAAAACAGAAGACCAAUAGGAGAUUUUGUAUAUUAAACAGGAUGUGAGAGAGAGAGAGAGAGAGAGAGAGAGAGAGAGAUAAAGAUUAGCAAUUAGCUCAUCUAAUUAAGAAAGCCAAAAAGUCCCAUUUUUCUCAUUUUCUGCUAUCUGUAAGCCAGUGGUGUGAUUCAACCAGGGGAUCCAGUGGCGUGAUUCAAUCUCCCAGUAGUAGAAGUUCUCCUCUGAGUUGGAAGACCCGAGAACCAGGAGUGCCAAUAUCCAGUGGCAGGAGAAGAAGGUUCUCUCAAAUCAGAAACAUGGAACUCGCCCUUCCUCCAUCUUAUUUUUUUCCCCUUGAGAAGGUCUCACCAAAUUGCCCAGGUUAGCCUUUAACUCACCAUUGUCCUUCAGGAGCCUCCCGAGUAGCCAGGAUUUCGGGCUGUAUCACCAACCCGUACUUAUCCCACCUCUUUGUUCUACUCAGAUCCUCUUGGGAUUGGGUGAUGGCCACCCACAUUGGUAAGGGUAAGCUUUAUUCAGUUUACCAAUUCAAACACAAAUAUCUCUUCUGGAAACACUCUCACAGACACAGCCAGAAAUAACAUUUACCAACCAACUGGUCAUCCUUUAGCCCAUUUACUUUUACACAUAAAAUUAAGGAACCCAAACUCCUUCAGCACCUCAUAAGAAAGCAGCUUUAUGGUGCCACUGAUCUAGAUCCUAUAGGAUCCCAGGGUUGAAGCUGUCUGAAAGGCCAUCUGGCCCGAUGUCACCUGAAUUCCAGCAGCCAGUUUCCUAUAAACUGUAUAUGAACUAUUCCAUUUGUUGGCACUUGGUGUCUCAUGGGCCAGACCUUUCUUCCUUGGUCAGAUUCUUCAGCACAGAACAUUCUACCACUUACCUGCCAUAGGCCUUGAAAUUGUAGGAGAAGGGAAUGGGAGUGUCACUUGCCUGUAAUCCCAGGACUUGGAUAGCUAAGGCAGGAGGAUUGUGAGUUCGAGGCCACCCUGGGAUAUGUAGAGGGCUCAAAGCCAGCAUGAACUACUUAACAAGAUCCUGUCUCAAACUUUCCCCACUCCAAAAUAAAAAAGACUUGAGAGACUGGAAGAUCUUUCUAACUCACAGAUAUAUAACCUGGGAAUGGGUACACAACAGUAAGUACCUUACGGGUCCUGUGAGAGUAACAUAGGAUAACUUCAAGGAUCAAUAUGGAUAUAUGUAAUACAAGAAGGAGCUUGUGUGUCAGUGAUGCUAAGCAGCAUAAAACAGUGCUAGAAGCUUCCAUCUUUGGGAGUUCCAAUGUGAAAGCACAGGUUAUUUACAGGAAGAGAAAUGUUGAAAUCAAAUGCAUCUUUCUUCACAUCCUUGGCUUGUUCAGGCUCUAGAUGAGUACUGGGGUGAGCUGCCAUAAGGAAAAGCCCAUGAUCAUUCCACCAUGUCCAAGUGGACGUUUCAAUUGCUGACAAUGAGAGCAUCCACUUAAUUCAUUUUAAAAGACCCAACAGAGGUUUAUGGAUGUAGCGGAAACAGGGAUAAGUAUCUGGAGUCUUCUCAUGAGCAACACUCCCAACCCAAGCAGUAUAACCUCACCACAAUCCAGAUGGAGUCUAGCACUCUGUGUUCAGCUAACCACUCUGCAGGUUGUGUUUCCUCAUCUGUAAAGUCCCUUACCUGCUAGAAGGAAGGAAGCUGGACUAGAAGACCUCUGGUGAGUUUUCUCACUUCUUAAUUUCAUGACAGCACUUCACCUACAGGAUUUCGCUGGAGCCUGGAGAGGUCAUGGCAGGAGGCAGGAAGAAAAGGAGCAGACGAUGCAGAGAAGAGGCUGCUGGGCAGCUUGUCGGGCGCCGCAUCUGCAUGCUAAGGGCCUGUUUUUAACUUCAAUUAUCGGAAGCCGAGAAGAUUUAACAAGGCUAAGUCAAGUUUGCACUCAGGACUGGUAACAGAACUGACUCUGUGUGCAGAGAACCUACAAGUGGGCUGAAAACUGCCUGGCCUGCCACUUUCCAUCUCCUGGUGGGGAAGUCUCUCUUACAGAGUAAUGGAAUCAUGGAAGAUUUGGUCAAACAGAAAUGGAACCCAG